GGGACUGUUUGGACGUGGAGAAACCUGGCAAGCGGCAGGUUGUUGAGUAAUUUCGAGUGUUUUUUUAUAGGAGUUCUCGCAAAGGGGGGUUCGAUUCCCCCCGGUCCCACCA
rnacentral:tRNA from 1 species